rnacentral:rRNA from 1 species
UUGCUACAGGCUUAACACAUGCAAGUCGAGGGGCAUCAGGAAGAAAGCUUGCUUUCUUUGCCGGCGACCGGCGCACGGGUGAGUAACACGUAUCCAACCUGCCCUUUACUCGGGGAUAGCCUUUCGAAAGAAAGAUUAAUACCCGAUAGCAUAAUGAUUCCGCAUGGUUUCAUUAUUAAAGGAUUCCGGUAAAGGAUGGGGAUGCGUUCCAUUAGGUUGUUGGUGAGGUAACGGCCCACCAAGCCUUCGAUGGAUAGGGGUUCUGAGAGGAAGGUCCCCCACAUUGGAACUGAGACACGGUCCAAACUCCUACGGAAGGCAGCAGUGAGGAAUAUUGGUCAAUGGGCGCUAGCCUGAACCAGCCAAGUAGCGUGAAGGAUGAAGGCUCUAUGGGUCGUAAACUUCUUUUAUAUAAGAAUAAAGUGCAGUAUGUAUACUGUUUUGUAUGUAUUAUAUGAAUAAGGAUCGGCUAACUCCGCGCCAGCAGCCGCGGUAAUACGGAGGAUCCGAGCGUUAUCCGGAUUUAUUGGGUUUAAAGGGAGCGUAGGUGGACUGGUAAGUCAGUUGUGAAAGUUUGCAGCUCAACCGUAAAAUUGCAGUUGAUACUGUCAGUCUUGAGUACAGUAGAGGUGGGCGGAAUUCGUGGUGUAGCGGUGAAAUGCUUAGAUAUCACGAAGAACUCCGAUUGCGAAGGCAGCUCACUGGACUGCAACUGACACUGAUGCUCGAAAGUGUGGGUAUCAAACAGGAUUAGAUACCCUGGUAGUCCACACAGUAAACGAUGAAUACUCGCUGUUUGCGAUAUACAGUAAGCGGCCAAGCGAAAGCAUUAAGUAUUCCACCUGGGGAGUACGCCGGCAACGGUGAAACUCAAAGGAAUUGACGGGGGCCCGCACAAGCGGAGGAACAUGUGGUUUAAUUCGAUGAUACGCGAGGAACCUUACCCGGGCUUAAAUUGCAGUGGAAUGAUGUGGAAACAUGUCAGUGAGCAAUCACCGCUGUGAAGGUGCUGCAUGGUUGUCGUCAGCUCGUGCCGUGAGGUGUCGGCUUAAGUGCCAUAACGAGCGCAACCCUUAUCUUCAGUUACUAACAGGUCAUGCUGAGGACUCUGGAGAGACUGCCGUCGUAAGAUGUGAGGAAGGUGGGGAUGACGUCAAAUCAGCACGGCCCUUACGUCCGGGGCUACACACGUGUUACAAUGGGGGGUACAGAAGGCAGCUAGCGGGUGACCGUAUGCUAAUCCCAAAAUCCUCUCUCAGUUCGGAUCGAAGUCUGCAACCCGACUUCGUGAAGCUGGAUUCGCUAGUAAUCGCGCAUCAGCCACGGCGCGGUGAAUACGUUCCCGGGCCUUGUACACACCGCCCGUCAAGCCAUGGGAGCCGGGGGUACCUGAAGUACGUAACCGCAAGGAUCGUCCUAGGGUAAAACUGGUGACUGGGGC